rnacentral:rRNA from 1 species
AGUGAACGCUGGCGGUAGACCUAACACAUGCAAGUCGAACGGCAGCACAGUAAGAGCUUGCUCGUACGGGUGGCGAGUGGCGGACGGGUGAUGAAUACAUCGGAAUCUACUUUUUCGUGGGGGAUAACGGAGGGAAACUUACGCUAAUACCGCAUACGACCUACGGGUGAAAGCAGAGGAUCUUCGGACCUUGCGCGAUUGAAUGAGCCGAUGUCGGAUUAGCUAGUUGGCGAGGUAAAGGCCCACCAAGGCGACGAUCCGUAGCUGGUCUGAGAGGAUGAUCAGCCACACUGGAACUGAGACACGGUCCAGACUCCUACGGGAGGCAGCAGUGGGGAAUAUUGGACAAUGGGCGCAAGCCUGAUCCAGCCAUACCGCGUGAGUGAAGAAGGCCUUCGGGUUGUAAAGCCCUUUUGUUGGGAAAGAAAAGCAGCAGGUUAAUACCCCGCUGUUAUGACGGUACCCAAAGAAUAAGCACCGGCUAACUUCGUG